UACGUAGGGUGCAAGCGUUGUCCGGAAUUAUUGGGCGUAAAGAGCUCGUAGGCAGGUCUGUUACGUCGGCUGUGAAAACCUGGGGCUCAACUCCGGGCCUGCAGCCGAUACGGGCAGACUAGAGUUCGGCAGGGGAGACUGGAAUUCCUGGUGUAGCGGUGAAAUGCGCAGAUAAUCAGGAGGAACACCGGUGGCGAAGGCGGGUCUCUGGGCCGAAACUGACGCUGAGGAGCGAAAGCGUGGGGAGCAAACAGG
rnacentral:rRNA from 1 species